CGUGGCAAGAACGUGAUUUCGAGUUGAUUGAGCUGGUUCGAGAUCCAAGUUCUUCGGCUCAGUCAUACUUCCAGUGAGGCGUGGCGAUCUUCAGAGACUUCGAGGCAUAUCUGCCGUGUCCGUAGACCGAGGAGUCCCUCUCUAUUCUCACUUCUAGCUUUAGCUCUGCUGUAUUUAAUUUUGUUUAGAUAUUCUGAAGUUAGAACACUUGUAUUUAUUCCACAACUUGUGAUUUCAUGAGGUUCCGAGUUUUGGGAGUUGAUUCAGUUUGAGAGUUUAUAUUUGUAUA